AAAAAGUUGUUUGUAAACAAAGUUGUUUGGUUGUCACGAAUUUGUUUAAAAUCAGAUGUCGAACACACAAAAGUCAGAAAACUCGAAGGAGAAACCCGAAGGCUCGUCGUUCUCCUACGAAACCGUUGUAAAGGAAGAGCUGAUCAUCGAGCACGAGGAUGGACCGUUCGGCGAACCGGAUUCACCGGAGCCGGACAAUUCCAGCGAGGAAACUGCAAAGAUUGAUAGACGACGAAAGUUUGAAACCUUGCGCUGUGAAGAUUGCGACAAAACUUUUACAAACAAUUUCACGUUUUACACGCACACCCUGAGGCAUAGGAAUCUCAAGGCUUGCAAAUAUUUCUGUGAAUAUUGCAAACAGCCUUUUAUAUCGGGAUUUGCGCUUAAAAAAACAUGAACGAAAUUUCCACGCCAUGCACCAAGAUGACGAUGAGCCUGCUAAGGGGAAACGUUCGGCAAAAUCAAUUUCCCCCAAAGUUGUGGUAAAACGCAACGAGGACGGUCUUUUCAAAUGUAGCGAGUGUGGCAAGAGUUUUGAGCAGCGCUGCCAGUACACGCGACACUUGAAUUCACACGCUGCCAAAAAACUGGGCAAAUUUCAGUGUGAAAUGUGUGAGAGAUGCUUCGGAUCACGUGCCGAUCUGGGCAAUCAUAAGCUGACCCACGAAAAGAACGAGGCCGCCAUGACGGAUUACACGCUCGCGAAGCAACGCCCCUCUAUCGACGUCCGGGAAGAGGGUGGCCUGUUCAAGUGUCCGAA
rnacentral:misc_RNA from 1 species